rnacentral:rRNA from 1 species
GAUGAACGCUGGCGGCGUGCCUAAUACAUGCAAGUCGAGCGAAUGGAUUAAGAGCUUGCUCUUAUGAAGUUAGCGGCGGACGGGUGAGUAACACGUGGGUAACCUGCCCAUAAGACUGGGAUAACUCCGGGAAACCGGGGCUAAUACCGGAUAACAUUUUGAACCGCAUGGUUCGAAAUUGAAAGGCGGCUUCGGCUGUCACUUAUGGAUGGACCCGCGUCGCAUUAGCUAGGUGGUGAGGUAACGGCUCACCAAGGCAACGAUGCGUAGCCGACCUGAGAGGGGGAUCGGCCACACUGGGACUGAGACACGGCCCAGACUCCUACGGGAGGCAGAAGUAGGGAAUCUUCCGCAAUGGACGAAAGUCUGACGGAGCAACGCCGCGUGAGUGAUGAAGGCUUUCGGGUCGUAAAACUCUGUUGUUAGGGAAGAACAAGUGCUAGUUGAAUAAGCUGGCACCUUGACGGUACCUAACCAGAAAGCCACGGCUAACUACGUGCCAGCCGCCGCGGUAA